CCUACGGGAUGCUGCAGUGAGGAAUAUUGGUCAAUGGACGAGAGUCUGAACCAGCCAAGUAGCGUGAAGGAUGACUGCCCUAUGGGUUGUAAACUUCUUUUAUAUGGGAAUAAAAUGUUCCACGUGUGGGAUUUUGUAUGUACCAUAUGAAUAAGGAUCGGCUAACUCCGUGCCAGCAGCCGCGGUAAUACGGAGGAUCCGAGCGUUAUCCGGAUUUAUUGGGUUUAAAGGGAGCGUAGGUGGAUUGUUAAGUCAGUUGUGAAAGUUUGCGGCUCAACCGUAAAAUUGCAGUUGAAACUGGCAGUCUUGAGUACAGUAGAGGUGGGCGGAAUUCGUGGUGUAGCGGUGAAAUGCUUAGAUAUCACGAAGAACCCCGAUUGCGAAGGCAGUUCACUGGACUGCAACUGACACUGAGGCUCGAAAGUGUGGGUAUCAAACAGGAUGAGAGACCCCAGUAGUC
rnacentral:rRNA from 1 species